UCGAGAAUUUUUCUCAAUGGGGGAAACCCUGAAGGAGCGACGCCGCGUGGAGGAUGAAGGUCUUCGGAUUGUAAACUCCUGUCAUUGGUGAACAAGGCUGGGCGAGUAACUGCGCUCCAGUUUGAUAGUAGCCGAAGAGGAAGAGACGGCUAACUCUGUGCCAGCAGCCGCGGUAAUACAGAGGUCUCAAGCGUUGUUCGGAUUCAUUGGGCGUAAAGGGUGCGUAGGCGGUGAGGUAAGUCUGGUGUGAAAUCCCGGGGCUCAACCCCGGAACUGCACUGGAUACUGCCUUGCUUGAGCACUGGAGAGGGAACUGGAAUUUACGGUGUAGCAGUGAAAUGCGUAGAUAUCGUAAGGAAGACCAGUGGCGAAGGCGAGUUCCUGGACAGUUGCUGACACUGAGGCACGAAGGCUAGGGGAGCAAACG
rnacentral:rRNA from 1 species